rnacentral:rRNA from 1 species
GACGAACGCUGGCGGCGUGCUUAACACAUGCAAGUCGAACGGUGAAGGGACCGGUUUUUGCUGGUUCUGGAUGAGUGGCGAACGGGUGAGUAACACGUGAGUAACCUGCCCCCUUCUUCUGGAUAACCGCAUGAAAGUGUGGCUAAUACGGGAUAUUCUGCGCCUGCUGCAUGGUGGGUGUGGGAAAGAUAUUGUUUCGGUGGGGGAUGGGCUCGCGGCCUAUCAGCUUGUUGGUGGGGUGAUGGCCUACCAAGGCGGUGACGGGUAGCCGGCCUGAGAGGGUGGACGGUCACACUGGGACUGAGACACGGCCCAGACUCCUACGGGAGGCAGCAGUGGAGAAUAUUGCACAAUGGGCGCAAGCCUGAUGCAGCGACGCCGCGUGAGGGAUGGAGGCCUUCGGGUUGUAAACCUCUUUCGCCAGUGAAGCAGGCCUGUCCCUUUUGUGGGUGGGUUGACGGUAGCUGGAGAAGAAGCGCCGGCUAACUACGUG